CCCUCAGAUGUGGCUGUAGAGGACAAUAGCAAAGCAGCAUUUCUUAGAAAGUAGAGAAACCAGGGAAAAUAAAGUAAAAACGACAUCACCUCAGAGAGCUGUCAUAUUGGAUAAUGGCCCAUAACAUUAUAGGCCUUAUUCAUUCAAGGCCCAACAUAGUCCAGAUGGAGCAACACAAGACCUGAUUCCUCAAGAAAUGGUGUGCACACAAAAUGAGUUAGAAGAACUGCCAGUUAUUAGUGGUAAAACUGAAAAUCCCAAUAAAGUCUGUAGUAGAGUUAAA